AGUUACAAGAGAGGAUGGAGAGGGAUGAGGCUUCAACCCACGAGCCCAAAGUGGGCAAAUCAGGGCACAAAUGUCCAAUUUGUGGGCUUGAGUACAAUGAUUUGAUGCAACACCUGAAACUAGGUGAACAGGUGUGCAACAAAACCGAACUGAACCUUCUCUGCAAGUUGUCACACAGACAUUUCUCGGCCAACUUGGAUUGCCCGGUCCGACUGUGCGACUCCAGGAAAAUAAACAGGCUGGACAAGCACCUGCAGAGAGUGCACAAGCUGGGGAACAAUAUGGUGACAUUAUACAUCCAAAAGGCAAAGGACCGUCACAUUGCGCGACAACUGGCGUUGCUGAGGGCGUCCAAACCCUACCCACCGAUGGUAUCCCAUCUCGAUGAGAUCGAUGAAGCAGCGAUAGAGGAGGGGAUCAGGAGGAAGUUCGAGGACCCUUCAUCAGUCCCACAUGACAGUGAGGUCGUGGCCCUCUCCGCUGCUAAGCCGUUUGAAACUCCUUCCGCCAGUGCGACGCCGUUGAACAAACCUGCCAGCCGUUCACCGAGAAAAACGUUGUUUAGGAGGAACAAGCCGGUUGUGAGGACUCCGCCCCCCCGAUGCAAGAACUGUGUGAUCCUUGCUGUUGAGCUGCAGGUGGUGAAAGAGCUGCUGGAAGCCGAAAUAGAACGGAGUGACGAACUAAAACAGUUGCAUUCUUCAACCAAUCGAGAAAAGGCAGUGAAGCACAAGAGGCACAAGCCCUUUUCACCAUCGAAAGCGCCGCAAUACGUUAAACUGGUAGAGGAGUUCAGGGAGCACACGGAAGGAAGCAAUCCCACGCGGAAAAUAAGGGAGAAUGCCCGCCAGCGAGCUAACCACGUCCUUUACUUUCUGACGUUCAUGUCCAAGCCCGCUGUUCCACAUGUGAACCUUCUCUUUCUGAAGGACUACGGUCGGAUCAGGAGAUUUGCAGCCCAUCUGGCUGACAACAACUUCAAACCGACGACCAUAAAAAGCUACCUGACGGAUGCCGUUGCGUUUCUGAAGUAUGUUACCAGUAUGGCGCCAGAAGGGGUGAAAAUAGGCGUGAAAAGCCUAAAUGCGCUGGCAGUGGAACUCCAGGCGAGGAUUAGGGACGUGGCGAGAGCUGUGCUAGGGCAACAACUGGCCCAGCGCCGCAAAAAGUCCGUUGAACUGGUGGAAGCGACUGAUCAUGCGUGGUUUGUUAAAAACGCACCAGCAAAGAUUUCUGCUGCACUCGAUUCUCUUGAGAAACAUCCAACAGACAAAAAGAGGCAGAGGAUGUUUUUCGGGCUCCUGAGUGGUUACAUCGUGGCGGUGACUGGGCACAGAAAAGGCGCCGUGGUCAACAUGACGCGGAAAGAGGUCAAAGCAGCAGAUAAAUUAAAAAAUGGCGAUCGCAUCAUACGGGUGGAACAGCACAAGACGGCUCGCUACUUUGGGCAGGCGGCCAUACCGCUGACAAAAAAGGAGUACUCCUGGUUCCUCCGAUACAACUGUCUCCGGUCUCGCAUAGAGGGAGGUCUAGAGGCAGAAACAUUCUUUCACACUUCCAGCGGCUCGGAGUGCCUCAAGCUCCCCGAAUACUUCAAGGAGGCGUGGGAGUGGUUGGAGUUGGGAAAGGCUCCGAGCUUCAACCUCCUCCGUUCCUCUGUGGCUACUUAUUCAAAGAGGCAACUGGGCUCGAAGGCGUACAGACGAGUGGCGGCCUUCAUGUGUCACGAUGAGCACACGGCCAAGAAGUUUUAUCACGCGGAAGACCCGGCAGCUGAGGUGUUUAAAAGCCGAAAUCUAUCCGUCAUGGCGAUCUCCACUUAUGCUGUCAAGAACAAUAAAAAAGCAGACACCCAGGACCGCAGAGCCACAGAGGACACGGAGGAGGACGAGGUGGAGGACCGGGACAGUGUGGAGGACCAGGAGGAGCAGGAUAUGGGAGAGGAGGAGGAAGAAGAAGAAGAAGAACGGGACUCAGAGGAUGAGGGAGAGUACCAAGAAAUGGAGGAGGAAGAGCGGGACCCAGAGGAGGAUGGUGCAAAUGAACACCCAGACAAGGAGCCUAAAAUAACUAGGCCAAGUUGUCCGAUAAGAAAGCGUCCCUCCAAGUCUGAAGCGGAACAGAAGAGAGACUCCUCCAAACCUCCUCUCCCUAAAAGGCCCAAAAGGGAUGGAAAGUGCCUUUUCAAAAACCGAUAGGGAGCAGCACUGAGAGACCGACUCCACCCUUAGUCCCUGACAGCCUGGUUCCUCUGAGUCCGGUUGAAGUCAAAACACCGAUUAAGGACAGAUUUCCUGUGGCAGUCCCAGAUGGCUCUCUUGGAGAACAACAAGGAGAGGAGGCUGAGGAGAGGGCUCCGUUGGAAGAAGAUGCAGAGGGUCUGGUGGAGGUUGCGGUGGAGGUGAAGGGUCUGUGGGAAGACAGUUCAGAUUCUUUGAACUGCCAGCCAGGCAAAUGGAGCCUGAGGAGAGCUUUAGUUUUAUUUUUAUUUUUUUUGCAUUGUUUGUGCCACCGGAGGCUGAAUAAACUGCAGAUGCAAAGAACCCUGGAUGACGAGGAUAAACAAUGUGUGGACAACACUGUUCUUUCUGUUCAUUUGAUUGUUGUUUUAUAUGGUUUGUGCUACCAGCCUAGAGGCUGAGGAGAGGGCUCUGUGUAUA